GUGUCAGCAGCCGCGGUAAUACGUAGGGGGCGAGCGUUGUCCGAAGUUACUGGGCGUAAAGCGCGCGUAGGCGGGGAAGAAAGUCUACUGUGAAAGCCCGGAGCUCAACUCCGGAGGGUCGGUAGAUACUUUUUCUCUUGAAGCUGCUAGGGGGAGAUGGAAUUACCGGUGUAGCGGUGAAAUGCGUAGAUAUCGGUAGGAACACCUGUGGCGAAGGCGGUCUCCUGGGGCAGACUUGACGCUGAGGCGCGAAAGCUGGGGGAGCGAACGGGAUUAGAUACCCCCGUAGUCC
rnacentral:rRNA from 1 species